GUGGGACAGGGGCGCGGGGCAGGGGGUCGCUCACCGGGCUCCGGUGCGUCCUCUCUCCGCCGCCGCCGCCGCCGCCGACUGGCACUCGGACUCGGGCCCAGGCAGGUUAGCGGCCCCGCCCGGCGCCGCGCACUUUCGGUUUCCCGGCUCCUCAGACACGGGGCGGGGCAAGGGGCCGGCCGGCAGGAAGACGGGGGGAGGAGGAGGAGGGGGUGGAGGUGGCCAGGGCGCCGAGCGAGGGGCCAGGCCCUGGCACAGCCGGCACCCCCCGCCCUGAGGCCCGUCAGGGGCGGGCGGAUGCUUGGGCGUCGCCUCAGCUACCCCAGGCGCCUGGGCAGGAGGGCUCGGGCGGGCGCCGCUGAAGGGAGGGGACUGCGGGGGGCGGGUUAACAGCACCCAAGGCCGUUGUAGGCUUCAGCCGUCCCCAAAGGAGCGGGGACCCGGCGCAAGGCUCGGUGCCUGUGAAGCGCAACAUGGCGACAAGGCCGACGGCACCCGGAGGCCUAGUAGGUACUGAGAACCGGCGAGGCUAAAGCGGCCUGGACGACCAUUAAGACCUCUUACGUCUGGGCGGCGCGGAGACUACAUUUCCCAGAGGGCCUCGCGCGGCGCGGGCUUGGCGGGGGCGGGGAAAAGGAAGCGCCUCGGAGCCAGUGCGCAGGCGUGAGAGUCCCCGCUGGCUACUUAAGGGAGGCUCGCUCGCUGUUCUUCCUUUCGCGUCUGCGGCGCUCUCUCUUCUUUGUGGUGUGCUGUCUGUUCCUCAUCCGAUGUCGUCUCAACCCUGGAAUCAGAAUUUGCUACUGUACGUGAUUUGCGUGAUCAGACGCUACAGAAUGAAUCUUGGCGGAGGGGUCCCUGCCGGGGCUCCAAGGGAACCACGUGUCGACAGGCAGAACCUUCAGCUUCCUGACGUCUGGAGCUCACUGUUGGCAGCAAACAGGCAUUGAAUGGACCGUGAUGGAUCCAGGACUGGGAGAGAAUUUGACCAGAGCCCUGUGUACAUCAGGGCCUACAUAGGUUGAUGGCUGCCUGAUUUCAGUUUGGUUCAGUUCUGUAAUAGGAAUUUCAGCUGUGGAGUCAGAAUGCAAGGCCUCUUGAGAAAGAUGUACAUUUACUUCUGAGAAAGCAUGAAGAUUUAGGUUGUUGUUUAACCUGAGUGUCCAGAGGUAAAAAUCUUGUGGCUGUUGUGAAAAAUGUAGUGUUAUAUUAAGUUUUGGUUAUUAAGGUUUUAACUUUGUAGCCUUCCUGUCUGGAGAAAUAAAAUCCUUUAAAUGAAAAUGCUGUUCUCUUGAGUCAUUAGACCUUGAACCAAAUGAUACUGAGUUAAAAGGUGGAUCCCACACUCUACAUGACUUGUUGACAUCCUCUGAUAGUUCCCUUCCUCUCUUAACCUCCUAACCUUGAUGAAACAAGCUAGCAAAAAUUAAGAGACCUCGAGCCAAUAAGGGAAUAAGGGCUGCCUGGUGGCUCAGGCAGUGAAGACUGCAGUUCAGGAGACCUGAUUUCAAUCCCUAGGUUGGGGAGAUCUGGAGAAGAAUGACAACCUACUCUGGUAUCCUUGACUGGAGAAUUCCAUGGACAGCAUCCUUGUGUGCUGCUGAACAAAGAUUUUAGUCUUGGUUUUUUAAUCUGUACUGCACUGCCUGUGGGAUCGUAGUUGCCACUUAGAACAGCUGCAGCAGAAACAGUUUUUUUUUUUUAAGCACAGAAAGUGUUGGACACAGCCCCCACCAGGCUCUGUCCAUGAAAUGCUUUAGACAGAAAUACUGUCAGUUCAGUUGCUCAGUCAUGUCUGGACUCUGACCCCAGCACGCCUAGCUUCCCUGUCCAUCACCAACUCCUGGAGCUUGCUCAAACUCAGGUCCAUUGAGUCGGUGAUGCCAUCAGAUCCUCUCAUGCUCUGUUGCUCCCUUCUGCCUUCAAUCUCCCAGCAUCAGUGUCUUUUCCAGUGAGCAUCAAGUAGCUAAAGUAUUGGGAGUUUUGCUUCAGCAUCAGUUCUUCAAUGAAUAUUCAGGGUUGA
ensembl:lncRNA